AGCGGCGGACGGGUGAGUAACGCGUGAGUAACCUGCCCUAGAGUGGGGGACAACAGUUGGAAACGACUGCUAAUACCGCAUAAGCCCACGGUACCGCAUGGUACUGAGGGAAAAGGAUUUAUUCGCUUUAGGAUGGACUCGCGUCCAAUUAGCUAGUUGGUGAGGUAACGGCCCACCAAGGCGACGAUUGGUAGCCGGACUGAGAGGUUGAACGGCCACAUUGGGACUGAGACGCGGCCCAG
rnacentral:rRNA from 1 species